CCUUGCGCUUCCCAAGUGAGGCAAUGCCUCGCCCUGCUUCGGCUCGCGCACGGUGCACGCACCCACUGACCUGCGCCCACUGUCUGGCACUCCCUAGUGAGAUGAACCCGGUACCUCAGAUGGAAAUGCAGAAAUCACCCGUCUUCUGCGUCGCUCACGCUGGGAGCUGUAGACCGGAGCUGUUCCUAUUCGGCCAUCUUGGCUCCUCCCUCUGAAGAGUCCAACAGAAAAUUUUAAGUACCUGUUUAAAGCAAUUUACAAGAUACUGUGGAGAUUCCCAGCAAUAAAGAAUGUACUAUAGUUAAGCUGGAAUCCAACUCCUGAAUUUCUGGAGCCCUGAAGACCACUUAGUCUUACUCACAAGAAUUGAAUGGAAUGUGAAUCUACACUCAGGUGAAGCCAGGGUAUUUUGAACGUCCCUACAAGACUGAAGCACCACUGGGAAAUAAGUAAUAGAGAUGCCAUCAUUGUGGAGGUCAUAAUGCUUGUCCUGAACACGAGGGGUCUCUAGUG
rnacentral:lncRNA from 10 species